rnacentral:rRNA from 1 species
CCUACGGGUGGCAGCAGUAGAGAAUUUUGCGCAAUGGGCGAAACCCUGACGCAGCAACGCCGCGUGAGCGAAACGCCCUUCGGGGUGUAAAGUUCUCUCAGUGGGGGCGACAAAUGACUGUGCCCGCAGAGUAAGCACCGGCUAACUCUGAGCCAGCAGCUGCGGUAAUACGGAGGCUGCAGGCGUUGUCCGGAAUCAUUGGGCGUAAAGCGUUCGUAGGCGGUAUGUAAAGUCAGAGGUGAAAGGCGCAGGCUCAACCUGUGUACGGCACUUGAUACUUGCAAGCUAGAAUGCGGGAGAGGUAAAGGGAAUUCUCGGUGUAGCGGUGAAAUGCGUAGAGAUCAGGAGGAACACCGGUGGCGAAGGCGGGUUACUGGGCCGUAACUGACGCUGAGGAACGAAAGCCAGGGGAGCAAAUGGGAUUAGAUACCCUAGUAGUC